GACGAACGCUGGCGGCGUGCUUAACACAUGCAAGUCGAACGGAAAGGCCCUGCUUUUGUGGGGUGCUCGAGUGGCGAACGGGUGAGUAACACGGGAGUAACCUUCCCUUGACUUUGGGAUAACUUCAGGAAACUGGGGCUAAUACCGGAUAGGAGCUCCUGCUGCAUGGGGGGGGUUGGAAAGUUUCGGCGGUUGGGGAUGGACUCGCGGCUUAUCAGGUUGUUGGUGGGGUAGUGGCUUACCAAGGAUUUGACGGGUAGCCGGCCUGAGAGGGUGACCGGCCACAUUGGGACGGAGAUGCGGCCCAGACGCCUCCGGGAGGCAGCAGUGGGGAAUAUUGCACAAUGGGCGGAAGCCUGAUGCAGCAACGCCGCGUGCGGGAUGACGGCCUUCGGGUUGUAAAACGCUUUCGCCUGUGACGAAGCGUGAGUGACGGUAAUGGGUAAAGAAGCACCGGCUAACUACG
rnacentral:rRNA from 1 species